CCUACGGGAGGCAGCAGUGGGGAAUUUUCCGCAAUGGGUGAAAGCCUGACGGAGCAACGCCGCGUGAGGGAUGAAGGCCUCUGGGCUGUAAACCUCUUUUAUCAAGGAAGAAGAUCUGACGGUACUUGAUGAAUAAGCCACGGCUAAUUCCGUGCCAGCAGCCGCGGUAAUACGGGAGUGGCAAGCGUUAUCCGGAAUUAUUGGGCGUAAAGCGUCCGCAGGCGGUCUUGUAAGUCUGUCGUUAAAGCGUGGAGCUCAACUCCAUUUCGGCGGUGGAAACUACAAGACUAGAGUGUGGUAGGGGCAGAGGGAAUUCCCGGUGUAGCGGUGAAAUGCGUAGAUAUCGGGAAGAACACCAGUGGCGAAGGCGCUCUGCUGGGCCAUAACUGACGCUCAUGGACGAAAGCUAGGGGAGCGAAAGGGAUUAGAUACCCCUGUAGUCCUAGCCGUAAACGAUGAACACUAGGUGUCGGGGGAAUCGACCCCCUCGGUGUCGUAGCUAACGCGUUAAGUGUUCCGCCUGGGGAGUACGCGACGCGAGUGUGAACGUACGAAGAAGUAGACGGCGNGUAAGAGUGCGACGACGACGACGAGGGAGGAGG
rnacentral:rRNA from 1 species